CCUGAGAAACCCAAAAGUUCGAAUGGAGAGAUUCAUCGUCAGCGAUCCUGGCAAUUGUGCGGUUCACGAUGUCCGGGACUUCGGUCCCGCGACACGCUGUCCGUAUGAUUUAUAUGCCGGGCGUCGUCGGCGUGCACUUCUCCCCUAGUAGGACGUCGCGACCCGUUGGGUGUCGGUCUACGACCCGGGUGGGUGCCCGUCAUGUGUUACGCUUCACGGCGUCAUGUGGCAGACCCCCGGCUGUCUGACCAGCUGCCCGGCGGUACUCGCACGGUAUCGAGCCGCAAUUAUUUGAACUGCGUCCGGCCCGCCGCAAGCGAGGCCAGUGUUUCCCGGAUGUACGGACUCAGCGCCGUCACCGGGCCUGGCCAGCUGUUGGCUGGCGGUGUCCUGGGACUGGCUCUUAAUAUACCGGUCGGCGACGCUACUGCUUUGGGUACUUUCAGGACCCGUCUUGAAACACGGACCAAGGAGUCUAACAUGUGCGCGAGUCAUUGGGAUCUAUUAAGCCUAAAGGCGCAAUGAAAGUGAAGGUAGGCCUCGCGCCGACCGAGGGAGGAUGGGCCGCGUCACGAUGCGGUCCCCGCACUCCCGGGGCGUCUCGUUCUCAUUGCGAGAAGAGGCGCACCCAGAGCGUACACGUUGGGACCCGAAAGAUGGU
rnacentral:rRNA from 1 species